AUUGAACGCUGGCGGCAGGCCUAACACAUGCAAGUCGAGCGGAUGAAGGGAGCUUGCUCCUGGAUUCAGCGGCGGACGGGUGAGUAAUGCCUAGGAAUCUGCCUGGUAGUGGGGGAUAACGUCCGGAAACGGGCGCUAAUACCGCAUACGCCCUGAGGGAGAAAGUGGGGGAUCUUCGGACCUCACGCUAUCAGAUGAGCCUAGGUCGGAUUAGCUAGUUGGUGGGGUAAAGGCCUACCAAGGCGACGAUCCGUAACUGGUCUGAGAGGAUGAUCAGUCACACUGGAACUGAGACACGGUCCAGACUCCUACGGGAGGCAGCAGUGGGGAAUAUUGGACAGUGGGCGAAAGCCUGAUCCAGCCAUGCCGCGUGUGUGAAGAAGGUCUUCGGAUUGUAAGCACUUUAAGUUGGGAGGAAGGGCAGUAAGUUAAUACCUUGCUGUUUUGACGUUACCAACAGAAUAAGCACCGGCUAACUUCGUG
rnacentral:rRNA from 1 species